CCUACGGGUGGCAGCAGUGAGGAAUAUUGGUCAAUGGACGCAAGUCUGAACCAGCCAUGCCGCGUGCAGGAAGACGGCUCUAUGAGUUGUAAACUGCUUUUGUACGAGGGUAAACGCAGAUACGCGUAUCUGUCUGAAAGUAUCGUACGAUUAAGGAUCGGCUAACUCCGUGCCAGCAGCCGGGGUAAUACGGAGGGUUCAAGCGUUAUCCGGAUUUAUUGGGUUUAAAGGGUGCGUAGGCGGUCGGGUAAGUUAGAGGUGAAAUCCCGAGGCUCAACUUCGGAAUUGCCUCUGAUACUGUGCGGCUAGAGAGUAGUUGCGGUAGGCGGAAUGUAUGGUGUAGCGGUGAAAUGCUUAGAGAUCAUACAGAACACCGAUUGCGAAGGCAGCUUACCAAGCUACUUCUGACGUUGAGGCACGAAAGCGUGGGGAGCAAACAGGAUUAGAUACCCGGGUAGUC
rnacentral:rRNA from 1 species